rnacentral:misc_RNA from 1 species
AGCAGCCGCGGUAAUUCCAGCUCCAAUAGCGUAUAUUAAAGUUGUUGCAGUUAAAAAGCUCGUAGUUGAAUUUCGGGGUUCCACCGUUGGUCGGGCUAUUGUCUGUACUGGCGUGUGGAAUUUCUACCUUCUGGGGAACUAUCAUGUUAUUAAUUUAGCGUGGUAGGAAACCAGGACCUUUACCUUGAAAAAAUUAGAGUGUUCAAAGCAGGCUUAUGUCUGAAUACAUUAGCAUGGAAUAAUAAAAUAGGACGGUGGUCCUGUUUUGUUGGUUUCUGAAUCACCGUAAUGAUUAAUAGGGAUAGUUGGGGGCAUUAGUAUUCAAUUGUCAGAGGUGAAAUUCUUGGAUUUAUUGAAGACUAACUACUGCGAAAGCAUUUGCCAAGGAUGUUUUCAUUAAUCAAGAACGAAAGUUAGGGGAUCGAAGACGAUCAGAUACCGUCGUAGUCUUAACCAUAAACUAUGCCGACUAGGGAUCGGACGAUGUUAACUUUUCUUGACUUCGUUCGGCGCCUUACGG